AGAACAAACGCUGGCGGCGUGCUUAAUACAUGCAAGUCGAACGGGGAAAGUAGCAAUAUGAGUACUAGUGGCGCACGGGUGAGUAACGCGUGGAUAAUCUGCCUUAGAGUGUGGGAUAACCAGUCGAAAGAUUGGCUAAUACCGCAUAAGACCACAGGAGCUGCGGCUCUAGGGGUCAAAGGUUUUUCGCUCUAAGAUGAGUCCGCGUGAGAUUAGCUAGUUGGUGAGGUAACGGCUCACCAAGGCGACGAUCUCUAACUGGUCUGAGAGGAUGAUCAGUCACACUGGAACUGAGACACGGUCCAGACUCCUACGGGAGGCAGCAGUAGGGAAUAUUGCACAAUGGAGGAAACUCUGAUGCAGCGACGCCGCGUGAGUGAUGAAGGCCUUCGGGUCGUAAAGCUCUGUCGCAGGGGAAUAACACAAUGAAGGUACCCUGUAAGAAAGGAUCGGCUAACUUCGUGCCAGCAGCCGCGGUAAGACGAGGGAUCCUAGCGUUGUUCGGAAUUNUUGGGCGUAAAGCGGGUGCAGGUGGCUAUGUAAGUCAGGUGUGAAAGCCUAGGGCUCAACCCUAGAAGUGCAUUUGAUACUGCGUAGCUUGAGUGCUAGAGAGGAUAGUAGAAUUCCUGGUGUAGUGGUGNAAUACGUAGAUAUCNNGAGGAAUACCGGCGGCGAAGNGGCUAUCUGGCUAGACACUGACACUCAGACCCGAAAGCGUGGGGAUCAAACAGGAUUAGAUACCCUGGUAGUCCACGCCAUAAACGAUGGAUACUUGUUGUUGGAGGUAUUGACCCCUUCAGUGACNAAGCUAACGCNUUAAGUAUCCCNCCUGGGGAGUANGGUCGCAAGAUUAAAACU
rnacentral:rRNA from 1 species